rnacentral:rRNA from 1 species
GACGAACGCUGGCGGCGUGCUUAACACAUGCAAGUCGAACGGAAAGGCCCUGCUUUUGUGGGGUGCUCGAGUGGCGAACGGGUGAGUAACACGUGAGUAACCUGCCCUUGACUUUGGGAUAACUUCAGGAAACUGGGGCUAAUACCGGAUAGGAGCUCCUGCUGCAUGGUGGGGGUUGGAAAGUUUCGGCGGUUGGGGAUGGACUCGCGGCUUAUCAGCUUGUUGGUGGGGUAGUGGCUUACCAAGGCUUUGACGGGUAGCCGGCCUGAGAGGGUGACCGGCCACAAUGGGACUGAGGUACGGCCCAGACUCCUACGGGGGGCAGCGGGGGGGAAUAUUGCACAAUGGGCGGAAGCCUGAUGCGACAACGCCGGGUGCGGAAUGACGGCCUUCGGGUUGUAAACCGCUUUCGCCUGUGACGAAGCGUGAGUGACGGUAAUGGGUAAAGAAGCACCGGCUAACUACGUG